rfam:Neptuniibacter sp. Phe_28 scaffold_90, whole genome shotgun sequence.
CGUUUCUUUUAAAUCCGGCGACUGCGUAACAGUCGUGUGCAUAUUUUUUAGGAGAAGUAACAUGGCAUUAACUGCUGAGAAAAAAGCGGCGAUCGUUACAGAUUUCGCUCGCGCUGAA